rnacentral:misc_RNA from 1 species
GAUGCUGAGCUUCAGAAAGUGGUCGACUACAAGGACCAUCCAACCACGAAUUGGAAGCACAAAUUUUACACAAGUUUGAGAAAAGCACCAUGAGUAUCACUAAGAUUCUCAUUUUGAUUGCUGUCUGCCUGGCAGCAGUAAGCGCUCACAAUUGCCCUUACAGCAAACGAUCUGCUGGGAAGAACCCUCAUAGCGCAAAUGCCAUCGACUUAACUGGUAAAGGAACAGGGUGCCCUUACGGAUAUACGAAAUCCGCUGGUUAUAGAACCCAAAGCAAAUGCCCUUACGGAUAUCCAAAAUCUGGAUUCAAUGAUGGACAGUGUCCUCAUGGAUUCAAAAAUACUAGCCCCGGAAGUGGAUGCCCCUGGGGAUUUAAUAAGCAAUCGUCUGUCGCUGGAACCAAAUGUCCAUUCGGAUAUGACAACGCCUUCGCUUCCAAAUCUGGCUGUCCUUAUGGCUUUAAGAAUUCCGACAAAGGAUGCCCACUUGGCGUUAAGAGAGGAUUCGUUGAAGGAUCUAAAUGCCCAUUCGGAUACAAGAAAGAAUCUAUCGGUGACGGGAAGUGCCCUGCUGGAUUUUCCGGAGUUUCAACUGGAAAGGGUUGCCCUAUUGGCUUCAAGCGACAAUUGGUUGAAGGAUCUCUAUGCCCCUUCGGAUACACCAGUGAAGAUGCGGCUGCUCCAGGCUGUCCUCACAAUUUCAAGAAAGGUGCUUCCGGAUGUCCAUUGGGACUGAAGAAAGGAUUAGUAGCUGGUUCUAAAUGCCCGUAUGGUGGAACUUUUGAAUCGGCUAACGACGGUAAAUGCCCUUUUGGAUACAAGUCAUCUGGAUCCGGAAAUGGAUGCCCUCUUGGACUGAAGAAACAACUAGUUGCAGGAAGCAAAUGCCCUUACGGAUUCGAUGGAGCUGCCAUGGCGGCCCAUGGUUGCCCACAUGGAUUUAAGAAAUCGGCUUCUGGCUGUCCAUAUGGCUUCAAUAAACCCGCUACAGCUUCUAACAAAUGCCCAUAUGGUUACGAGAAAAAAGCUGGAUACAGGACUAAAAGCAGCUGUCCGUACGGAUAUCCGAAAUCCGGAUUCAAUGACGGACAAUGCCCACAUGGAUUCAAAGCAACUGGUUCAAGUGCUGGAUGCCCAUGGGGUUUUGCGCAAUCAUCUGUGGCUGGAACCAAAUGCCCAUUCGGAUAUGACAAAGCCUCCGCUUCCAAGUCUGGCUGUCCUUACGGCUUCAAGAAUACUGACACAGGAUGCCCACUAGGAGUGAAGAAAGGACUCGUCGAAGGAUCAAAGUGCCCAUUCGGAUACAACAAAGAAUCAAUUGGCGACGGAAAGUGCCCCGCUGGAUUUUCUGGAGUGUCAACUGGAAAGGGUUGCCCUAUUGGCUUUAAGCGACAAUUGGUUGAAGGAUCUCUGUGCCCCUUUGGAUACACUAGAGAAGAUGCGGCUGCACCAGGCUGCCCUCACAACUUCAAGAAAGGUGUCUCCGGAUGUCCAUUGGGACUCAAGAAAGGAUUAGUCGCUGGAUCCAAAUGCCCUUACGGCGGCACUUUCGAAGGAGCUAAUGACGGAAAGUGCCCAUUUGGAUACAAGUCGACUGGUUCUGGUAAUGGCUGCCCACUCGGACUGAAGAAACAACUAGUUGCAGGAAGCAAGUGCCCCUACGGAUUUGGCCAGAGUGAUGCUGCAGCUAACGGAUGCCCCCACGGCUUUAAGAAAUCUGCAUCUGGCUGUCCUUAUGGGUUCAGCAAAACACAAGCAACUGCGCACAAAUGUCCUUACCACUCGAUGAAAGCCGACUACAAGGCCAAGAGCAGAUGCCCCUAUGGAUACCCGAAGGUCGGAUUCAAUGACGGAAACUGCCCACAUGGAUUCAAUAAGACUGGCUCUGGCGAUCCUUGCCCAUUCGGAUUCAAGCAAUCUUCAUCGGAUUCCACCCGUUGCCCAUUCGGUUACUCCGCAUCUGAGAUUAAGCCCGGUUGUCCCCUGAACUUCAAGAAAUCUGACUCUGGCUGCCCUCUUGGUUUAAAGCGAGGAUUGGUGGAAGGAUCUACGUGCCCCUUCGGUUACACGAGAGAGGCUGCUACUGAUGGAAAAUGCCCACUUGGAUUUGAGGGACCUACUUCUGGAAAGGGAUGCCCUCUUGGACUCAAGAAACGUUCGGUAGAAGGAACUCUAUGCCCUUACGGAUACACGAAGGAGGGAGCGGUAGCUUCCGGUUGCCCUUACGGAUUCAAGAAAAAUGCUGGUGGAUGUCCCUUCGGUAUCAAGCGAGGACUAGUUGAAGGCUCGAAAUGCCCAUUUGGAUUUUCGCUCACCCAAUCGACCGAUGGCAAGUGUCCCCUCGGCUUCGUGUCUUCUGGUUCUGGACACGGUUGUCCCUUUGGAAUCAAAGUAAAAACAGAUGGUUGCCGGAAGUAAAUGUCCUUAUGGAUUCACGACCGCCGAUUCUUCAGCUAGUGGUUGCCCUCAUGGCUUCAAGAAAUCUGCUAAUGGACAAGGAUGCCCAUUCGGAAUUCAA